GUCUACGGCCAUAACACCCUGAACGCGCCCGAUCUCGUCUGAUCUCGGAAGCUAAGCAGGGUCGGGCCUGGUUAGUACUUGGAUGGGAGGACUGGAACCUUAUGAC
rnacentral:rRNA from 1 species